GAUGAACGCUAGCGGCAGGCUUAAUACAUGCAAGUCGAGGGGCAGCAGCUUUAUAGCAAUAUAGAGGCUGGCGACCGGCAAACGGGUGCGGAACACGUACACAAACUUCCUUUAAGAGGGGGAUAGCCCAUAGAAAUGUGGAUUAAUACCCCGUAACAUAUCGGUGUGGCAUCACACUGUUAUUAUAGUUUCGACGCUUGAAGAUGGGUGUGCGGCUGAUUAGGUAGUUGGCGGGGUAAAGGCCCACCAAGCCUUCGAUCAGUAGCUGAUGUGAGAGCAUGCGCAGCCACACGGGAACUGAGACACGGGCCCGACUCCUAAGGGAGGCAGCAGUAAGGAAUAUUGGUCAAUGGACGCAAGUCUGAAACAGCCAUGCCGCGUGAAGGAUGAAGGUCCUCUGGAUUGUAAACUUCUUUUAUAGGGGGCGAAAAAAGGGAAUUCUUUCUCACUUGACAGUACCCUAUGAAUAAGCACCGGCUAACUCCGUGCCAGCAGCCGCAGUAA
rnacentral:rRNA from 1 species